AAAUUAAUUUAAUAAAAUAAACCUCUACGUCACCAAAAAUAAAUAUUAAAAUAUAUUAAAAAGGAAAUAAAAUAAUCAGAAUAAUAGUAGAGAUUAUAUAAGUUUUGUAGUGGGUCUAGAAAACCCCCUAACUACGUAGCUAUUCUAUUUUUCUUUUCUCCUAUAUGUUACACAAAAAAUUCAGCCAUGAUUAACUUCCCAAGGUCUCUCAGAUAUUCAUCUUUAGCCCUUUUCAAACACGCCAUCUCUGCUAAUCCCUGGCCUAAUUCUCUCUGAAACAAACCUUUUCUCUCCUUUUUAUUUUUAUUUUGUUUAAGCAUAUUAGUAGAAUUUGUUUUCAACUUGCAGGAUGGGUGGUGGAGAGAUCAAAAGUAUACUACACUUUCCACACCUCCACAUCAAUCAAGGUGCAAAAAACAAACAAUCGAAAAAAGAUGUACAUGUACCAAAAGGUUACUUGGCUAUAAAAGUAGGGCAAGCAGAAGAAGAACAACAACGAUUCAUCGUUCCAGUAUCUUACUUCAAUCAUCCACUUUUCAUUCAGUUACUCAAAGAAGCUGAGGAAGUGUAUGGAUUUCAUCAUAAGGGAACAAUUACUAUUCCUUGUCAUGUUGAACAGUUUCGAUGUGUUCAAGGUAAAAUUGAUAAACACCAGCACCACCAUCAUCAUCUGCAUGUCCCAUGUUUUAGGGCAUGACAGGUUUUAGCUUUUUUGGUUUUUAGUGUAGUAGUUUUUGUUUGCCUUUCGGUGGGGGCGGUUUAGUGAUAAAAGACGACAAGUUAUUUUAUGUUUACGAUGUUUUUGUUAUGGGGUCACUGAAGUUGCUGUUAGCAUCCUUCGUUUCAAUUUGUUUGUCUCAAGUUUUUUGUGCUUAAGUUACAAAUUGAAACGAGAAAGUAUUAGUAAAGUGGAAUUUUAGUUGCUUCUAUUCUCUGCUUUAUUCUUUUUAAUAACAAUGUUCUCCUUCUCUUUUUUUUUUAAUUUCACAAAAUUUUCAUGCUGCCUGUUGGAAUCUAGCAUUCUUUUCAUGAAGUAAUGAAUUUUAUGAUUGGUUAGUGAUUUUAAUAAGGUUUUACAUUGCUGAUAUUUUUAACUGUUGUAGUUAUUUUUCUUUUAAAAGAAACGUCUUAAAUUCCAAGAUCCCGCAGCAGGGUUAAAAAACAAAAGGAAAUCGCUAAAGUUUCCAAAUAAAUUAUAAAUUUUUAUUCAAAAUUACUAAAUAUUGUUUAUAGCAAAAGUAAACUUCUUAUAUAAAAAGAAAUACUUUUAAUUAUUAGAAGAAUUUUGAUGUAUUUAAAUUAUAUCUUAAUAAAAAUUAAAUGUAUUAGUUAUAUUAAUAAAAACAAUUAUCAAAAGAAUCAUCUAUAAUAGUUAUAACUUUGCAUCUCAAAAUUUAAAAUAUAGAUUUUAUUGAUAAAAAUAUAUUUUAAGAAAAAUUUAAAGUCUCUAUUUAAUUUUUAUCUUAUAUCAUUAAUAUGAUUGAGCCGUCUGCCCGAAAGUUUAAUUUGAUAUGAAAUUCAUGACAAAAAGAUACGGAUUGAUGUGAAAUUAAAUAAAUUGAUAAUAAUGCGUUUCCUGUAGAAGGACGUAAUCGUCAAGUUGAAAAAAAACAAAUGCAUCCAAAUUUAAAGCAGCACACUUAUUACCGACCCGACGUUAAUCGAAGAUACUAGAAUACUAGAACUUCCUCCAGUUCCGUUACAAUUUGUUUUUUCUUUUUUUUUAAAAAAAUAUUUUUAAAAAAUCUAUUUCUAUAUUUAGUUUUUUCGAUUUUAAUAUACUCCCUCAAAUUUAUAUUAAGCAAAUUUUUGGGGUAUCGACUAGAAAAUGACUUUGUAGGGUAUCAAGAAUUGUCAAAAUUCAUAGGACUAUACAAAUUUUUUAAAAUAAUAAAAUUAAAUAAUCUGUUUUUAAUUUUAAAUCAGUGUCAACUUAAAUGAAGACAUUUCUGCCUAACAUGAGCUAGAACUUAGAGAAGUGAUGUGAAGCAUGUUGGCAUGUUUAAUAAAACAUCAAGAAAACGACCUCCUUCAAUCUUUUUAGGAACUUAAAUGUUUUGCUCUUUUUAGUGUUUUAAAUCAAAUUUUAUUUAAUAAAAAUCAAAGCAAGUUGUUGAAAUAUUUAAAGCAAACAGGAGGAGGGUCGUUGUUUCAAUGGGGUCCAUUGGGUUUUGGUGGACGGCAAGCGGUAGCCACAGCCGUGUUUAAAAGACUGUUAAGUAUGCUGAUGCAACUCAUGCAAAAUUACAUACUCCCAUACAUAAGGUGCAGUCGUCUACGCCUCGACUUAUGUAAAAGUUUCUGUGCCAGUAACAAAACUGAGUUCAAAUCAAAGAAUUCCAUGACCCACACACUCCUCAAUGAACUAAUUAAGGAAACUUGCCAAGGUCAUCAUGGUAUGUAACGGUGUUUGAUGGUGGUAGUGGUUUGCAGAGAUGUCCACUUUAAUGUUGGAGGUGUUUGAGGUGGUGGUGAUGGUGGUAGUAGUUGCUAUGGUAAUAAUUGCAGAGGUGGUUCGUCCGACUGUGACUUAGGAUGACUUGCAAUUCUGCUAAACUAUACUCGUACACUGUUGAUCUCGCCUGCCACCAAAUCCAACUUGAAAAGGAGAACAGGAAAGUAAGAAAAAAUAUCUUCAUAUCAUCAAUGUAUUCUUUCUUUUUUUUUUUUUUAAUCAACAGUUUCUAUCAUUUUGCCAAACACUAUCCAAAAGAGUAAGUUAAGCAUGC